rnacentral:rRNA from 1 species
GACGAACGCUGGCGGCGUGCUUAACACAUGCAAGUCGAACGGAAAGGCCUCUUUCGGGGGGUACUCGAGUGGCGAACGGGUGAGUAACACGUGAGUAACCUGCCCUUGACUUUGGGAUAACUUCAGGAAACUGGGGCUAAUACCGGAUAGGAGCUCCUGCUGCAUGGUGGGGGUUGGAAAGUUUCGGCGGUUGGGGAUGGACUCGCGGCUUAUCAGCUUGUUGGUGGGGUAGUGGCUUACCAAGGCUUUGACGGGUAGCCGGCCUGAGAGGGUGACCGGCCACAUUGGGACUGAGAUACGGCCCAGACUCCUACGGGAGGCAGCAGUGGGGAAGAUUGCACAAUGGGUGGAAGCCUGAUGCAGCAACGCCGUGUGCGGGAGGACGGCCUUCGGGUUGGAAACCGCUUUCGCUCAUGACGAAGCUUUGUGUGACGGUAGUGGGUAAAGAAGCACCGGCUAACUACGUG